UACAGAGGUCUCAAGCGUUGUUCGGAUUCAUUGGGCGUAAAGGGUGCGUAGGUGGCGCCGUAAGUCAGGUGUGAAAUUUCGGAGCUUAACUCCGAAACUGCAUUUGAUACUGCCGUGCUUGAGGACUGGAGAGGAGACUGGAAUUUACGGUGUAGCGGUGAAAUGCGUAGAUAUCGUAAGGAAGACCAGUGGCGAAGGCGGGUCUCUGGACAGUUCCUGACGCUGAGGCACGAAGGUCAGGGGGAGCAAACGGG
rnacentral:rRNA from 1 species